UGACGAGAUGUCGACUGGAGGUUGUGCUCUUGAGCGCGUGGCUUCUGGAGCUAACGCGUUAAAUCGACCGCCUGGGGAGUACGGCCGCAAGGUUAAAACUCAAAUGAAUUGACGGGGGCCCGCACAAGCGGUGGAGCAUGUGGUUUAAUUCGAUGCAACGCGAAGAACCUUACCUGCUCUUGACAUCCACCGAAUCCUUUAGAGAUAAAAGAGUGCCUUCGGGAACCCUGAGACAGGUGCUGCAUGGCUGUCGUCAGCUCGUGUUGUGAAAUGUUGGGUUAAGUCCCGCAACGAGCGCAACCCUUAUCCUUUGUUGCCAGCGCGCCAGGCUGGGAACUCAAAGGAAACGGCCGGGGAUAAACGGGAGGAAGGGGGGGAUAACGCCAAGUCAUCAGGGCCCUUACAAGUAGGGCUACCCACUGGCUACAAGGGCCGAUCCAAGGAGAACCAACCUCCCAAAAGCAACCGAACCUCAUAAAGUCUGCCGAAUUCCGAAUGGAAGCCGGCAACUCAACUCCUUGAAGUCGGAAUCGCUAGUAAUCGGAAAUCAAAAGGCUACGGGGAAUACUUUCCCGGGCCUGGUACACACCGCCGGUAAAACCAGGGAAUUGGGUUGCAAAAAAAGUAGGUAGCUAAACCUUCGGAAGGGCGCUAACCACUUUGUGAUUCAGGACGGGGGUGAAGUCUAAGGGGAACCCCCAAAAAAAGGGGGAAACCCCGGGGCUUUGGGAGCUUAAAGCUUCGGGUUUUUCCCGGGGGGCCACCCUUCGGGGGGGGUUUCCCGGAGAUUCGUGCGGGGUUUGGGGGGUGGGGGGGGGGUUUUGGGCCCCUUGUAGGUGGUUUGUGGUGGGGGGGUUUGGGGGGGGUUUUGUUGUGGUGGGGGGGGGGGUUUUUAUUUUGUGGUUUUUUUUGCCCGGGGGGGGGGGGGUUUUGGCGUGUGUUUUUUUGGGUUAGGGGUGGGGUCUUUUGGUUUUUUGGGGGGUGGGGGGGCGGGGUGUUUGGGGGGGGUUUUUUCUGGGGGGGGGAGCGUGAGUGGGGGGGGGGUUUUUUUUUUUUUUCUUUUUUGUGGGGGGGGGGGGGGUUUUUUCUCCCCUGGGGGGGUUUUUUUUUAAGCGUGGGGGGGGGUUGGGGGUUGGGGUGGGUGUGUGGGGGUUUUUGUCUUUUGGGGGGUUUCUUGGUGGGGGGGGGGGGGGGUGGGUGUCCCUUCUGGGGGGGGGGGGGUUGUUUCUUUUGAAGCAUCUGGGGGGUGGUGCGGUUGGGGGGGUGGUGUUCUCCUUUCUUUUUUUUUUUUGUUUUGGGGGGGUUUGAGGUUUUUGGGGAUGGUAGGGGUGGAAGUGUGUCUUUUGGGUGCGGUGGUGUUUUGUAG
rnacentral:rRNA from 1 species